AGAGAGUGUUGGUAGAAUGUGAUUCUAUCCAGGAGUGAAGUAAAAACAGAAAACAGUAGAGUUUUUUUUGUGCAGAAUUCUACUGUUCUAGCAACGACAAAAAUAUACUUAUAUGUACAAAAUAUCAAAUACAAAUUAUAAUUUUGAUGAUUUCACAUAUGAGUUAAGUGUUCUUAUAUUUGUAUCUAAAACUGGUAUUGUGCAAUGUAAUGAUGAAUGGUAAAAUUCAUGUUAGUAAUUAAAAAUUUUAAUUUUUCUUUACUUAGAAUGGCAUCAAGGCAUCAAAUAGCAAAUAAAAAAUAUCACAAGAUGAGAGAGAGACUGGAAGAAAGAAGAAAGCUCCGUAUUUUAGUAACUUCAAGGACACUUUUUUCCUGCUUUUUGAAGAAGAGGUCCCACAUUUUCAGUUUGAACAAGGAGCCCCACAAUUGUGAGAAAAGCCUGACAGAGGGCAAGGAGACUGAGGAUACGAGGCCCACUCAGAUCCCAGAGUUAUUAAGAGCUACCCUCAUGCAAGGUUUAAAAUCACCAGGGGGGAAAAAACCCCAACAACUUCCGAAUGGAAGAGGGAAUCAUUUCUCCUCCUGACUACACAAUCGUCUUACAAGAGCCUUAUUCAGAACAGCUGGCAGGAAAUUAUAUUUUCACAAACUGAUUUAUUGCACAGCCCGAACACUGCCCGUUUCAAUAGGACUUCCGCAAGCAGAUUUAGACUUGAGUUACACGGUGGGUCCAUUCAGAACCAUUUUCCUCUACGACGAAACGUUUUCAUGACAAAAGUGGCCCAAAUCAACGCACUGGUGCUCCUUAGAAUUCUCGGCCUGGCAGCGAACAUGCUUCAGGAGGCCUGCGUGGCUGUCGCCUGCAUGGGCCUUCCCAGUGAGCUGUGUUUGUUUUCUGAAGCGUGCUUUAUGUGGGCCCAGCCACAGGACACAAUUGCUUCAUUUCUAUUCUCGGCAGUGGCCAUGCCUACAUUGCAACCGCCUGCCUGGGCCCACACAAGAUUUCCAGAGAAAUGAGCAUGACAUUAAACACCCCGUUUUACAUGAGGAGAAAGCAGCAAAAGGCAGUCGGGCCUGGCAGCCUCCCUCCCUCCCCAGAGAUGUCUGAGUGGACCGGAAGGCCUCAUGGGGGUCACCUUUGCCUCAAGGAAUAAUUCCCCUCCAGGAAAGUCCCCGCCAGCAUCCUUUAUAAAAAGACUUCCAUUGCCGGUGAGGGAGUUAUUUCUGAGACAGCACUGCCAACAAAUGUAACCCUUUGGGAAAAGUGCUAAGUCAAGCUGGGAUUCCCCACCGAGGGCUCCGGAGCCUCUGGCGUCUCUCAGGAAAAGGCAAUCUUGGUAUAAGCAUAUUAAUGUCGCUUUUCUUGAACCGGAAAAGGGGAGUGGGAGGAGGGUUCUCCCAAUUUUACCAGAAUAAAAAUGCCCUGAGGAAACA
rnacentral:lncRNA from 1 species